rnacentral:lncRNA from 1 species
AGGGCCUCAUGGGUUCUCUCAGCUCAGAUGGAAGGCUUGGCUGUGCAGUUUCUCUGGGCGCAUAUAGCAGUCUCAGCCACAUAGGCGCUCACUGUGCAGAUGGAAGGCAGCACAGACCAGAGAGACUUUGCUUGAGAAUCACCAGAACGAGCUCUGGACACAGCACAAGGUCACUCCAGAACCACCCACUUCACCAAACAUCAUACAUGGGUAAUAGAUGGAAUCCAUCUUGCAAAACCUUACUCCUCAUCUAUCACUGGGUGUGGCUACCAUCAGGGUUCUGCAGCUUAUCAGGUAAGGGGUUUCCAACUCUCCUACCUCCAGCUGUGAUAACUCAAGAUUUUUC